GAUGCUGACACCUCAGUUCCCAAGCAGGGGUCAUAAUGAAUUGAACUUAUCUGCUGCAAAUCAGAUACUGCUGAUCAGAUUCUCUUUUCAACGCCUACACAGCACUACUCUAUCAACAAUUCCAGAGUCAAAGAUAUUUCCCCUGGAGUAGCAUCACUACCUCCACUGCUCAGAACAAGCAGCAUUAAGCACCUGGAGAAGACUGUACAUCUUUUCUAACAACUAAAAAGUUUGAAUCUGCAUUUGGGUAACAUUUUAACUUGAAGCUUUUUUGUAGUAGAAUUUUUCUUGCUGUUUAAAAAACAUGUCAGUAAAGAUUUAUUUUAACUA